rnacentral:rRNA from 1 species
AGCGAACGCUGGCGGCAGGCCUAACACAUGCAAGUCGAACGAAGUCUUCGGACUUAGUGGCGGACGGGUGAGUAACACGUGGGAACGUGCCUUUAGGUUCGGAAUAACUCAGGGAAACUUGUGCUAAUACCGAAUGUGCCCUUCGGGGGAAAGAUUUAUCGCCUGUAGAGCGGCCCGCGUCUGAUUAGCCAGUUGGUGGGGUAAAGGCUCACCAAGGCGACGAUCAGUAGCUGGUCUGAGAGGAUGAUCAGCCACAUUGGGACUGAGACACGGCCCAAACUCCUACGGGAGGCAGCAGUGGGGAAUCUUGCGCAAUGGGCGAAAGCCUGACGCAGCCAUGCCGCGUGAAUGAUGAAGGUCUUAGGAUUGUAAAAUUCUUUCACCGGGGACGAUAAUGACGGUACCCGGAGAAGAAGCCCCGGCUAACUUCGUGCCAGCAGCCGCGGUAACAC